UACGGAGGAUCCGAGCGUUAUCCGGAUUUAUUGGGUUUAAAGGGUGCGUAGGCGGCUUUAUAAGUCAGAGGUGAAAGACGGCAGCUUAACUGUCGCAGUGCCUUUGAUACUGUAGAGCUUGAAUGUGAUUGAAGAUGGCGGAAUGAGACAAGUAGCGGUGAAAUGCAUAGAUAUGUCUCAGAACCCCGAUUGCGAAGGCAGCUGUCUAAGUCAUAAUUGACGCUGAUGCACGAAAGCGUGGGGAUCGAACAGG
rnacentral:rRNA from 1 species